GGCCAGACUCCUACGGGAGGCAGCAGUGAGGAAUAUUGGUCAAUGGGCUUACGCCUGAACCAGCCAAGUCGCGUGAGGGAAGACUGCCCUAUGGGUUGUAAACCUCUUUUGUCAGGGAGCAGCGCCGGCUACGUGUAGCCGGACUGAGAGUACCUGAAGAAAAAGCAUCGGCUAACUCCGUGCCAGCAGCCGCGGUAAUACGGAGGAUGCGAGCGUUAUCCGGAUUUAUUGGGUUUAAAGGGUGCGUAGGCGGACGCUUAAGUCAGCGGUAAAAUUGCGGGGCUCAACCUCGUCGAGCCGUUGAAACUGGGCGCCUUGAGUGGGCGAGAAGUACGCGGAAUGCGUGGUGUAGCGGUGAAAUGCAUAGAUAUCGCGCAGAACUCCGAUUGCGAAGGCAGCAUGCCGGCUCCACACUGACGCUGAGGCACGAAAGCGUGGGUAUCGAACAGGAUUAGAUACCCGAGUA
rnacentral:rRNA from 1 species